UGGAGGGAACAAUCCCACAAUGCCUGGGUGAGAUGAAUGAAUACCUUUGGAAUUUGGAUUUGAGCAACAACAGUCUUAGUGGGACAAUCAAUAUAAAUUUUAGUAUUGGAAACUCUUUCAGGGUCAUUAGCUUGCACGGGAAUAAGCUAACAGGGAAAGUCCCACCAUCUUUGAUCAAUUGCAAGUAUUUGACACUUCUUGAUCUAGGUAACAAUAAGUUGAAUGACACAUUUCCAAACUGGUUGGGAAACCUACCUGAUUUGCAGAUUUUAAGCUUGAGAUCAAAUAAGUUUCACGGUCCCAUUAAAUCUUCAGGGAAUACAAACUUGUUUGCGCAGCUUCAAAUUCUGGAUCUAUCAUCCAAUGGAUUUAGUGGUAAUUUACCAAUAAGUCUUUCUGGGAAUUUGCAAGCCAUGAAGAAAAUUGACGAGAGUACAAGAACCCCAGAGUAUGUUUCUGAUCAAUUUGCUGGUUAUUAUGAUUAUUUGAUGACAAUUACAACAAAGGGACAAGAUUAUGAUUGUGUUCAAAUUUUGGAUCCUAACAUGAUUAUCGAUCUCUCAAAGAACAGAUUUGAAGGUCUUAUUCCAAGCAUUAUUGGAGAUCUUGUUGGACUUUGUACCUUGAACUUAUCUCAUAAUGUCUUGGAAGGUCAUAUACCAGCUUCAUUGCAAAAUUUAUCAGUACUCGAAUCAUUGGAUCUCUCAUCUAACAAAAUCAGCGGAGAAAUUCCACAACAGCUUGCAUCCCUCACAUUCCUUGCAGUUUUAAAUCUCUCUCACAAUCAUCUUGUUGGAUGCAUCCCCAAAGGAAACCAAUUUGAUACGUUUGAGAACAGUUCGUACCAAGGGAAUGAUGGAUUAUGAGGAUUGCCACCCUCAAGAGACUGUGGCCGUGAUGAUAGGGUACCACAAGAGACAAUUCUAGUUGAGCUAGAUCAAGAAGAAGUAGAUGAUUCACCAAUGAUCAGUUGGCAGAAGGUUCUCAUGGGUUACGGUUGUGGUCUAGUUAUUGGAUUGUCUGUAAUAUACAUAAUGUGGUCAACUCAAUAUCCAGCAUGGUUUUCGAGGAUGGAUUUAAAAUUGGAACACAAAAUUACUACGAGAAUGAAAAGGCACAAAAAAAAGAUAUUAGUGUGUAGCGACCUUCAGGUAUUCAACUUGAUCUUUAUCUUUCUUAAGAUUAUUUUUUAUAUAUCAAUGUAUUUUCGACCUCCUUCAUCCUCAAAGCUCUUACCUUUAAUUCUUCAUUUUUGAAAAUUGCAGGAUUCAUGUCUACAAAGUUUCUGAAGAUUAAGAUAAAAAGCCUCUAUCUUUCAUUUGUCUAUGGCAUGUAGAAAUAAAUUCGACUGAUAAAUAGAAGUCGGACAUAAAGUUGAAUCUUUGGAUCAAUCAGAUGAUAUGUGUCAUCACUAAAAACGUAGUAUUUCACUCAACUCUUUCACAUAACAUCAUAACACAAACAUAGAACACUCGAAUUUAAGUUCAAAAACAUAAAAAUCUGAAGUUACCGAGUUCGGAAUAUUUUUUUUCAGAUUCAUGAUGGUCCUUCAUCAAAAGAUCAAAGAAACAUUACCAGGGACCAAAGUUACAGUUUUCUAUCUUUAACUCUUUUCAUUGAAGCAGCAGCAAAAAGAUUUGCAUUAUUCUCUACUCCCUGAGCCUCACAUAGACAACAUCACGUGUUUUCAACUGGAAUCUGCAUUCUUUGAAGAGUUGGAGAAAGAGCCUUCAACUCUUCCCAUCUAAGUCUCUGAUGACAGAGUUACCCGAUAUCUCUAUUGGUGGAAGGUAGACGGUACCGGUUGAAUUAAUCGAAUAGACUCAAGUUGACCUGAGCAUCACUGUUAUACAACAACAAACUAUGCCUCAGCCCCAAACAAAAACUUGCAUAGAGACCUGCAAUAAUGUUCGAAGCCCAAAAUAAGAUAGACAUAAACACACAAUUGAGUGAUAUAAUUUCUAGUGAUCGAAAUCCAUAUGGAUUUCAAACAUCAUUUAGGAAGAAAUCAAGCAGAAGCGCUUGACUAUAGGUGAGGUUUAUCGUGAUCAACUAUUGUUCAGAUUCAUUAAUUAGCAAACUGCUCCACAAUUUCAAAGUUUCGGGGCAAAGAAAAAGAUUCAUAAAAACAAAAGGGAAUACCUCGCCAAACAGACUUAGGAACCAGGUUUGUCAAGAUAUCACUGCAGCUUUCUUUACGCUGUGCUUUAAUCUCUGUGCAAAAUCCAUAUGCAGGAUCCUUUUAACUGAUUUUGAUGAGUCGAGAUUUCACAAAAAUGUAUCUGUCAAACUAUGACUUAGCUGAUGCGGCAGUUAUCAGCUCCACUAAAUAUACUUGUGGGCUGAAACCUUGUGUAUUCCAGCAUCUAACAUUGCUUUUCUCAAGGCAGCAGCAUAAUCCCACCUCUCUGCGCCAGCACAAAUGAUUCGGUUGCGACUCAAGCAGUAGUUGUGAUACUUCAUAUCCCAAUUCAAUAGCUCCAUGAAGUCUACAAGCACCCAUCAGAGCCCCCAAGACAGUAAAGGCAUCAGCUUCAAACAAGAUAAUGUUCCAUCUUAGCUACAAGUCAAAAUUCAUGAGACAUCGCUUCAAACAAUUUAAAACUGAAAUCGACAAGCUUGGCAUACACACAAUUAAGCUGAUAGAACAGACACAAAAGUAAUCUCAUUUGGUUGCAGCCCCUUUGCCCUCAUCUUCUCAUACAUCGUUAAUGCCUACUUCUCUCUUCUAAGAAAAGGGUUGUAGAUUAUUUGUGAUACAUUAAUUUCUAUUCGACCUCCUUUAUGAUGCAAAUAACAUUAAUGAAAGGCAUAAAACAGUACUAAAUUAAGACAGGGAGAUUUGAUAUAUAGUUUAGAGAAUAUUUGGGCCUCUUGAAGUGUAACAGCCCAAAGCACAAAACAUUGAAGACCCAAACCAGCAAAACAAAAGAAAAUCAGAAUCAGACAUAAAGUUGAAUCUUUAGAUCAUUCAAUCAGACGAUAUGUGCCAUCACUAAAAACAUUGUAUUUCACUCAACUCUUACACAUAACACAAACAUACAACACUCGACUUUAAGUUCAGGAACAUAAAAAUCUGUAGUUACAGAGUUUGAAGAUAUUUUUCUACCGACUCAUGAUGGUCCUUCAUCAAAAAAUGGAAGAAACAUCAGGAAAACACAGAAAAUCUAGUAUCCAACACGGCUUCAGAAGGAGAAUCUUCUGUUACUAUCAUCAAUGAAUUCAGUAUUACAAACUUCAGGCCUUAAGAACUGAAAUACAGGUGCUCGGAAAAUUGAUUUAGGCUGUAUAUGGAUGAUAUACAGCGGAAAGGGACGACAUAGGGUUCAUAUACAGUAGUAAUAUACGCUUGGUAUAUAUUCAGGUUUUCAAGGGUAAAAAUAGGGCCAAUGCCCAAACACAACCUGCAGCAGGCCCAAGAAGGGCCCAAAUUCAAUUUCUCCUUCACUCUUAACCUAUUUAACUGUGAUUAUUUACUGUUAGCUUUUUAUUAACUCUAACUUUAAAUAACUUAAUUAAAUACCCAAAAGAUGAACUAUAUUAUUUCUGUUAGUUUAUUUUAAUAUAAUUCAUUUUUUAUCAACUUUCAUACUUUUAUUGAAUAUAUUUAGUCAAAACUUUUUAUUUAUUCUUCAAUUAAUUUAAAAUCGUUUUCAUACUUUUAGUUAAUCAAAUCGGUUUAAAUUAUUAUUUUAAAAUGAUUCAAAUAAAUUUUAAUUAAUCUAGUUUUGUUAAAAUACUAAUCACUUGUAAUUAAAUUCAAAUAUUUUAAUUAAGGUCCCCCUUUCUAAAAAAAAUCAAAAAUUGUUCUUUGUUUAACUAUUUUUUUCAAGUUAAUAUUAAAAGUCAUUUUCAUAAUCACUUCCCAAAAAAUAGUCAAAAAAAUAUUUUAACCAAGUUGUAGGAUAACCGCGUGUUAGCGGAUGCUUCAAAUGCCUUAAAAACCUUCUUGAAGCGUAAAUAAGAACCUCUUACCCAUUUUCUCUAAAUUUUUAAAGACUUAAUCUGUUAGAGUCUUUUUAAAUUAUAAGUUUUUUUGUAAUUUCUCUAAAAAAUAAAGUAGCGACUCUUUUCUAAGUAUUUUUCUCAAAUUGUCUUAUACUUAAAGCAUUUCAAAAGUAAUUUUUCUAAAGAUAGUCAAAUUACAAUAUAUAUAACAUUUAGAUCAUUCGAUCAGAUGAUAUUUGUCAUCACUAAAAACAUUGUAUUCACUCAACUCGUUCACAUGACAUCAUAAUAAAAACAUAGAGCACUCGACUUUAUGUUCAGAAACAUAAAUUUGUAGUUACAGAGUUCGAAAAUAUUUUUUACAGACUCAUCGAAAGAUCAAAGAAACAUCAGGAAACCAUGGACCAAAGUUGAAGUCUUCUAUCUUUAACUAUUUUCAUUGUAGCUUAUAUCAUAAAAAAAUUAACUCAAAGGAGAUUUGGACUCAACUUCAACUUCCUGUGUAUAAUAUUUCAAGAAUAGUAAAACAAGUUGAUAUCUAAAUUUACUUUGAAAUGGCCUUCAUACUUGGAACUAUUAAUUACUGCAGAACUUUAAUCACUCAUUAAUGUAUAAAACAUGUACCCUAUUGAGUUUUCUUAUUGGGAGAAACGGUAGUCUAUCAAUUAGUAAUGACUUUCCAAUUUUUUGGUAGUUUAUCAAUAAAUUAGUAAUGACUUUCCUACAUAAAUUAAAUGAAUACAUGGAUUCUUUAUUACCACAAAUUUUUUAAAAUAACAGUUUUUUUUUUUAAAGUAAGGAAAAAAUGGUCAAUUAAUUUUGUACAGGUAUUUCGUAAUCCAACUUGGCACUUUGAAGCUUCACAAUUUUAAUUGAGCUUUAUAUUUUCAUUGGAACGAACUUUAAUUCUUUAACAUGUGUAUCUUGAGGAGAAGAGAAAGGGAAAGUUCUGAGUGGGGUUAAGGGAACCAAAACAAAUACCUUUUAUGUGACAUUUUUGUCUAUAUAUAAUAAUGUAUCAGACAAAAUGCAUUUGUUAUAUACAAGCGGUGGGACUUUGUUACGUUGUUGCUUUCAUUUGAACAUAUUGAAUGUGCAUAUGUGAUUGUCAACUUCAAAUUGACUGAAAAUGCUUAAUUUAUGCUAAUCUCUAUCUCAUCAAAAUUAUUGAAUACACACACAGAGCAAAUAUCUUCUCUACCAACUUAAUUAGUUUUGAUCAUUUUUAGUGCGGAAAUGGGUUAUGUAAAACUUGUAUUUUUUAUGUUAUAUACCUUUCUCUGUCAACUUGGUAUCUCCUCAUCCUUACCUCAUUUAUGCCCCGAAGAUCAAGCUCUUGCUCUUCUACAAUUUAAGCACAUGUUUACCAUUAAUCCUAAUGCUUCUAAUUUUUGUCGUGAAAUAAUAACAGAUCAAGAGAUUCAGUCAUAUCCAAAAACCCUUUUAUGGAACAAGAGCACAGAUUGUUGCUCAUGGGACGGAGUUCAUUGUGACGAGAUGACGGGACAAGUAAUUGAGCUUGAUCUCAGUUACAGCACACUUCAAGGCAAGUUUCAUUCCAAUAGUAGCCUCUUUCAAUUAUCCAAUCUCAAAAGGCUUGAUUUGUCAUGUAAUAAUUUCACCGGAUCGCUCAUUUCACCUAAAUUUGGUGAGUUCUCUAGCUUGACGCAUCUUGAUUUGUCAGGUACAGGUUUUACAGGUCUAAUGCCAACAGAAAUCUCUCACCUUUCUAAAUUACACGUUCUUCGAUUCAGUGGUCUAUAUGACCUUAGUCUUGGGCGUCACAAUUUUGAACUGCUCCUUAAAAACUUGACCCAAUUAAGAGAGCUCAACCUUGACUAUGUAAACAUCUCUUCCACAAUUCCUCAGAAUUUCUCUUCUUAUUUAAAAAAUCUACGGCUUCCAUACACAGAUUUAUGUGGGGUAUUGCCCAAAAGAGUUUUCCACCUUUCCGAUUUAGAAUUCCUUGAUUUAUCAUCCAAUUCUCAGCUCACUGUUAGGCUUCCCACAACCAAAUGGAAUAGCACUGCAUCACUCAUGUACUUACGUCUCUAUGACGUGAAUAUUACUGAUAGGAUACCUGAAUCAUUUAGCCAUCUAACUUCAUUGCUUGUAUUGGACAUGAGUGAUUGUAAUCUGUCAGGGUCUAUUACUAAACCUCUAUGGAAUCUCACCAACAUAGAGUUGUUGGACCUUGGUAAUAACCAUCUUAAAGGAUCAAUUUCCCGGUUAUCGAGAUUUGGAAAGCUCAAGGACUUAUCACUUAGAAAUAACAACUUUGAUGGCCAACUUGAGUUCUUAUCCUGUAACAGAAGUUGGACCCAACUUAAAUGGCUAGAUUUUACAUCCAAUUUCCUAACUGGUCCAAUUCCAUCCAACGUAAGUGGACUACAAAAUCUACAAUCACUCUACUUGUCAUCAAACAACUUGAAUGGGACUAUACCUUCCUGGAUAUUCUCCCUUCCUUCACUGUCAGAGUUAGAGUUGAACAAUAACACUUUCAGUGGAAAAAUUCAGGAGUUCAAGUCCAAAACAUUGUCUCAAGUUGAUCUAAAACAAAAUCAACUAGAAGGUCCUUUACCAAAUUCACUCCUAAACCAGCCACUCCUAACAUAUCUUCUCCUUUCACACAAUAAUAUCAGUGGACAGAUUGCUUCAACUAUCUGCAAUCUGAAAGAAUUGACUGUGCUAAAUUUGAGAAAUAAUAAUUUGGAGGGAACAAUCCCACAAUGCCUGGGUGAGAUGAAUGAAUACCUUUGGAAUUUGGAUUUGAGCAACAACAGUCUUAGUGGGACAAUCAAUAUAAAUUUUAGUAUUGGAAACUCUUUCAGGGUCAUUAGCUUGCACGGGAAUAAGCUAACAGGGAAAGUCCCACCAUCUUUGAUCAAUUGCAAGUAUUUGACACUUCUUGAUAUAGGUAACAAUCAG
rnacentral:lncRNA from 1 species